GUAUAGUGACACAGUAACAGAGGGAUUGAGGGCUCUGCUCAGUGAGUUUACAUGUUAGAGGGAGUGGGGUAUAGUGACAGUAACAGAGGGAUUGAGGGCAUGCUCAGUGAGUUUACAUGUUAGAGGGAGUGGGAUAUAGUGACACAGUAACAGAGGGAUUGAGGGCCUGCUCAGUGAGUUUACAUGUUAGAGGGAGUGAGGUAUAGUGACACAGUAACAGAGGGAUUGAGGGCCCUGCUCAGUGAGUUUACAUGUUAGA
rnacentral:lncRNA from 1 species